rnacentral:rRNA from 1 species
UACGUAGGGUGCAAGCCGUUGUCCGGAAUUAUUGGGCGUAAAGAGCUCGUAGGCGGUUUGUCGCGUCUGCUGUGAAAACUCGGGGCUUAACUCCGGGCCUGCAGUGGGUACGGGCAGACUAGAGUGCGGUAGGGGAGACUGGAAUUCCUGGUGUAGCGGUGAAAUGCGCAGAUAUCAGGAGGAACACCGGUGGCGAAGGCGGGUCUCUGGGCCGAACUGACGCUGAGGAGCGAAAGCGUGGGGAGCGAACAG